rnacentral:tRNA from 2 species
GCGCCAGUAGUCUAGUGGUAUGAUGCGAGCUUGCCAAGCUUGUGGCCCGGGUUCAAUUCCCGGCUGGCGCA